CCUACGGGAGGCAGCAGUGAGGAAUAUUGGUCAAUGGGCGAGAGCCUGAACCAGCCAAGUAGCGUGCAGGAUGACGGCCCUAUGGGUUGUAAACUGCUUUUGUAUGGGGAUAAAGUCAAUCACGUGUGAUUGUUUGCAGGUACCAUACGAAUAAGGACCGGCUAAUUCCGUGCCAGCAGCCGCGGUAAUACGGAAGGUCCGGGCGUUAUCCGGAUUUAUUGGGUUUAAAGGGAGCGUAGGCUGGAGAUUAAGUGUGUUGUGAAAUGUAGACGCUCAACGUCUGAAUUGCAGCGCAUACUGGUUUCCUUGAGUACGCACAACGUUGGCGGAAUUCGUCGUGUAGCGGUGAAAUGCUUAGAUAUGACGAAGAACUCCGAUUGCGAAGGCAGCUGACGGGAGCGCAACUGACGCUUAAGCUCGAAGGUGCGGGUAUCAAACAGGAUUAGAUACCCUUGUAGUC
rnacentral:rRNA from 1 species